GGAUGUGAGGGCGAUCCGGCUGCGACAUCUGUCACCCCAUUGAUCGCCAGGGUUGAUUCGGCUGAUCUGGCUGGCUAGGCGGGUGUCCCCUUCCUCCCUCACCGCUCCAUGUGCGUCCCUCCCGAAGCUGCGCGCUCGGUCGAAGAGGACGACCUUCCCCGAUAGAGGAGGACCGUUCUUCAGUCAAGGGUAUANUCUACCUUCGGCUCAGGUCAUGAUCCCAGAGGCCUGGGAUUGAGCCCCGUGUUGGGCUCCCAGC
rnacentral:snRNA from 1 species